rnacentral:tRNA from 1 species
GGGGCCAUAGUUCAAUCUUGGUUAGAGCGCCGGCCUGUCACGCCGGAGGUUGCGGGUUCGAGCCCCGUUGGCCCCG